rnacentral:rRNA from 1 species
UGGGGAAUUUUGGACAAUGGACGCAAGUCUGAUCCAGCCAUGCCGCGUGCGGGAAGAAGGCCUUCGGGUUGUAAACCGCUUUUGUCAGGGAAGAAACGAGUUUCUCUAAUACAGAGACUUAAUGACGGUACCGUAAGAAUAAGCACCGGCUAACUACGUGCCAGCAGCCGCGGUCAUACGUUGGGUGCGAGCGUUAAUCGGAAUUACUGUGCGUAAAGCGUGCGCAGGCGGUUAUCUAAGACCGAUGUGAAAUCCCCGGGCUCAACCUGGGAACUGCCUUUGUGACUGCAUAGCUAGAGUACGGUAGAGGGAGAUGGAAUUCCGCGUGUAGCAGUGAAAUGCGUAGGUAUGCGGGAGAACACCGAUGGCGAAGGCAAUCCCCUGGACCUGUACUGACGCUCAUGCACGAAAGCGUGGGGAGCAAACA